AUGGACUAUAGGACAGGACUGCUGCUUCUAACUGUCUGCUGGGCAGGUGUUGGUGGUCAGACGCUAACAGAAUCUGAACCAGCAGUUAAAAGUCCUGGAGGAUCUCACAGAUUGACCUGUACAACCUCUGGAAUUAACUUUGCUGGCAACUGGAUGAUCUGGAUCAGACAGGCUCCUGGAAAAGGAGUGGAGUGGCUCGCUUUAAUCAGAGCUGACAGUUCUGAGAUCAACUACUCUCAGUCAGUCAGAGGGCGAUUUACCAUCUCCAGAGACAACAGCAGAGAGCAGCUGUAUCUGCAGAUGAACAGUCUGAAGACUGAAGAUUCUGCUGUUUAUUAUUGUGCUCGAGCGACACAGUGACUGGAGUUGGUUGAGCAGCUGUACAAAAACCUACAGUCCUCACCUUCACUCUGCUGGUAGAGGAAAAAGCAUUAAGUGGUUUUUAAUAUUUAUAUAUCACACU